CUAAAACUCAAAGGAAUUGACGGGGGCCCGCACAAGCGGUGGAGCAUGUGGCUUAAUUCGAUGCAACGCGAAGAACCUUACCAGGGCUUGACAUAUAACUGCAUGUCUCCCGAAAGGGAGAAGGCCUUCGAGGGUGUUAUACAGGUGCUGCAUGGCUGUCGUAAGCUCGUGCCGUGAGGUGUUGGGUUAAGUCCCGCAUCGAGCGCAACCCUUGUGAUUAGUUGCCACGUUCUCAGAAAUGGGAGCAGCACUCUAAUCAGACUGCCGGUGACAAGCCGGAGGAAGGUGGGGAUGACGUCAAGUCAGUAUGGCCCUUAUGUCCUGGGCUGCACACGUGCUACAAUGAAUGGUACAGAAGGAUGCAAGGCCGCGAGGUGGAGCAAAUCCCCAAAGCCGUUCACAGUUCGGAUUGGAGUCUGCAACUCGACUCCAUGAAGCCGGAAACGCUAGUUAAGGCGUAUCGGCAAUGACGCCUUGAAUACGUUCCCGGGCCUUGUACACACCGCCCGUCACAUCAUGAACGUCGAU
rnacentral:rRNA from 1 species